UACGUAAGGGGCAAGCGUUGUCCGGAAUUACUGGGCGUAAAGAGCUCGUAGGUGGUUUGUCGCGUUGUUCGUGAAAACCGGGGGCUUAACCCUCGGCGUGCGGGCGAUACGGGCAGACUUGAGUACUGCAGGGGAGACUGGAAUUCCUGGUGUAGCGGUGGAAUGCGCAGAUAUCAGGAGGAACACCGGUGGCGAAGGCGGGUCUCUGGGCAGUAACUGACGCUGGAGGAGCGAAAGCAUGGGGAGCGAACAGG
rnacentral:rRNA from 1 species